AGUCAGGUCAUUGGAAGGCUUUCUGGAUCUGAAAGUUUCCUGAUAAAGGUGGCAUUUUACCCAGGUCUCUAAGGAGAGGCAGGCUUGGGGAAGGUUGGGCAUGGGGACACAUUCCAUGAAGGGAACAGGUAAACAAAGAUACAGAAAUCGGAAUGCACAGCAUUUUUAGGGGAAGAGCAAACAUCUGCUUCCACCCCAUCUCAUUCCAAAAACAGAAUUGGAGCAGUGAGGAGUCAAGUGAGCAUGGAACACAAAACAGUUAAAGAGACUCAUGGGAAGUUCAUAAAAUUCAUUAAGGAGAGUAGGGUGAUUGUGGAGAGUGGAUAUAAGAGGAAAGAAUUUGAAUUUGAUUCUAUAGUGAAUGAGGAAUCGUGUAUGGGUUUGGAAUAAGCCUGGCCGCAGUAUAUAAAAUGGAUUUGUGUGGGGGAUAUAAUAGAAAGCAAGGAGAUUAAUCAGAAUGCCUGUGCCAAAGUUCAGACGAGGAGGACCAGAACCAAGGUUUCCGCAGUGGAAGCAGAGAAGGGGAGAGAUACACAAGGUUCGACUUUUCAGACCUUCCCUUGACAGGUCCUGGUUCUUAUUGGAGGUGGGCUGAGAGGACACAGAAGAGUCACUGUCAGCCCGAGUUUUUCACUUGGGUGAUCAGGAGGAUAGUGGAGCCAUUAACAGGGAAUUUAGAAUGGGGCCAAAUGAUGGAUUUAACUGAAAAACUCUGAUUAGAAAUAAUCAAAAGCAGAUAUCAGCGCUGAAAAUGAGUCAGCCACCUAGGACCUGACAUUCUGGCCAUGUAGCCAAGGGCAGCGGAUACAGCCUCAGGGUCUUCGGCUCCUUUGAAGUCCAUGGGAAGUGGCACUGCCUGUAAAUUCAUCACCUCAGAUUAGCUCAUGGAAUAAAAGCUGUGCUAUGUGCAGUUUGGAUAAACACCCUACACUUAUUUUGUGCUUUGUACUUUGUGCUCAACCUUCAUGGAUUUCUGAUUUCCUUUCAUGGUAUCUCGUGAGAUGGGUAUUCUGAUUUCCAUUUUACAGGCAAGGAAACUGAGGCUCAGAGAAGUUAAGGGGCAGAUCUAAGUCACAUUUCUAGCGUAGAUUCAGGCCUGCGCCUGCCUUCAAGCCUUGCUCACACUCCCCUGUCACCCAGAUGCAGGACUGGCACUCUUCUGAGGCAGAGGAAGAAUAAGUCAACUCAACCGAAAUUGGCAAUGGAGGCCAGAGAACAGUGAGAGGGGAACUCAGAGUGAAAAAUUCAAGGCUGGAGAAUUUCCUUCCUGGGUUACAACUUGGAAGAACCAUCUGCUCUCCUUAAGCCUCUGCCAAGUUUGCUCUGCCCCCAGUCUCUUCCUGCUGUCAGACAACUCCAAGAAGGCCCUGAAGUGGGAGAAAGGCAGGGGAGAAGCAGCUGGGAAUCAGCAGGAGAGUAGAAUUUUCUCUGAUUGUGUCUGCCCUCCUCCCUCUCUUCCUUUGCCUCUCCUUUGCUGCUAACUUCAGACAGAAUGGCUCAAAGGAAUUGAUAUGUCCAGAGGGGAGAAGUCCAAAGCCAAGAAAAGGACUUACUCCAUUCGUCUGCAGGGAUGCAGAGAAACCAGCAGGGGGCACUAUGGAUGCCUCAGUGGUGGAGCCACACUCUCUCCUUCUCCUAAGGCUCUGUGGACUUGGCAAGUGUUUUGCCUAUCCUGAAUAUGCAGGUGCUUAUGUGAUGUGGGUUGGAGGGAGGUCCAGAGAGAAGCUUCUAGACAAACUAGUAGUUAAGAGGACAGAUGCUGCAGCUAGACUGCCUGGGUUCAAAUCCAGCUUUGCCAUUUUCCAGCUGUGGGACCUCGAACAAGUGAAUUAGCUUCUGCAAGGUGUACAGUGACCUGGGGCUCCUACUGGGGAGCAGACUCCUGGAGAAGGCACGACUCUGUGUACCAUCACUGUCCUCUCUGACCAGCUAGCAUAAGAACAGAACAGAGUGCCACUGCUCAGCUUCAUGACACCUCAGGAGGAAGCUGGUGCCUUGGAAAGUCAGGCUCACGAUGUGGCCCCAGACGCUCCUCACAGCUGGGUCCAGGAAGACUCUCCCAGGCCGCCCUCCCAGAUGCCUGUGUCCUCAAAUCACACAUGAAGCCAUUCCCUUGACUCCUCUCUGGGCACCAGGUCUUUUUUUAUUCUUGUUGAGAUGUUAAGUGAGAGUUUGAACUCUAAAUACAAGAAUUUGCCAGAACUGAGUAUGCCUUGGCACUUUCUCUUGGAUCAUUGUCUUCUUGGACUGUACAGGCCAUGGUCUAGGAGCAAUGGGCUGGACAAAGAUGAGGAAGGUUGCUGUGUUCACACAACUCAUGAAAGUCCAAGAAGAGGCACCAUCUAAAUCUUUUGAGAAAAUUUCCAAACUGACAGUAGGAUCUUCAGUGCAGUGAAGGAAUAUUGACAAUUGCCAAAGUGGACAACGCUCCACUGCAGCCCAGCCCAGAACUACAGACUUUCCUGAGGGCCUGCUUGGUGACAAGCCCAUGGGGUGUGUUGAGUGUUGGGGAAUCUGGGAGGAGCAAACUCCUGGCCUUGCUUUGGAGGCUCUCAGUUGGGACCACUGGCCUGUCCCUGCCACAUGUGGGCAGAAGCAGUGAUGAAGCCUGUGGCAGGAGGACCUGGGAGGUCUCUGCUGGGCACCUGCAGAAAAGUCCUGCCGUCAGCAUGGGCUGACUACCUGUGUCCAAUCAUCCCUACUGACUUAAAUCUCCUUCCAGCUCAAAGGUUUAGAAUGAUCUCAUAAUACUCAAUCUUGUAAAAUGGAAUUGUCAUCAGAAACAUGAGGGGGUGGGCCUCGAAUAUCCAGAUUAUUGCUCAGUGGGAAUCACAUUUCCCUCACAAAAGCCCUGUGAGAGAGGCAAUCCUAUCCCCACUUUAUCAAAGGGGAAAGUAACUCAGAAAGACUAACUGAUGAGCCCCAAAUCACACAGAUUAGAAAUGAGGGAGCUGGGAGCCCCAUGGCUCUGAACCCCAGGUGUCCAUAAUGAGCCCAAGGGAGGCCCGGAAGUCCAGGGAAGGCCAUUCACGGAGAGGCAGCUUGAGGGCUAGGUCUCCUGUAUGAUUGUACAGGUUGGCCACAUAUGAGGCCCCUCAGCAGAGGGAAUCAUUGGGGGAUGAAAUUCAGCCUGUGUUCUGAUCCCUAAGCCAUGGGCCCUAGCAAAGUACUAGGCCCUCUGGGGAAAGGCCUCUUUGUUUAAUAUGCACCAGAGGGGUAUUGUGGGCUGGUGUUGGCCCUGCUUGUGGAUGCAUAUGUAGUGAGGUUGGAUGUGGGGAGCAACAGCAGACUGCUACCCCCCCAUCCUGUACCACCUGGGUCAUGCAGGGAGAGCUAUGGACUCAUCUUGUGAAUACCUACUUCAUAUUAUAGCUUUUAUUGCUGUGGCUUCCCUGCUUUGGCCACUUCUUUCUUUAUGGAACACCUAUAUGAAGUCAUCCAGCAGAACAUUUACUCAUAAAAUAUUUUUUCCAAGACUAAGGCAGGAGAUGAAAAACAAGGAAGAUGAUACAAUGGAAUACUACUCAGCCAUAAA